AGUGCCCAAGGAGACCAGAAGGAGGCAGCAGACCCCUGGAACUGGAGUUACAGAUGGAGAGGGUGGCGAGACAGCACACUGGAUACGCUGUUCCCGGGGGUCAUGAAGUGGAGGGCUUCCUUGAGGAUCAGGCUCUUCCAGGAAUGACGGGAGAGUCUCCAGAGGACUCUGAAGUUGGAGAAGGGAGCGUGACAGCGCCGACAGCCUAUGUGUUAACAGCCUAUGUGUUAAUCGGGAAGUGCCCACCCUUGCUCUGCUCUGUGCUCAGGGUCUCCUCUCCAGUGUCCUGCUCACGCUCUCACUCAGCCGCUCACAGACAAACGUGCACGCGCCAUGUCAUGGGCUGUGGGCCUCCAUCGGGGCUUAAGCGGAGGGAAACGGGAACCCAGCGGAAGGAGAAACAGUUCCUCCACGGGAGACUGAGAACUUAAGCUGCAGCCACUAGGAGACAUUUGGGGGAAUCUCCUGUGUGAGAUGGCUAAGGACUCAGCUUCUCUGCUCAGUAGUUUACAGAGGCCUGGGGAGACGGCUCAGCGUCUGAGCACCGGCUUUUCUUCCAGAGGACUCAGGUUUAAUUCCCAGCACCCACACGGUGAUUCACCACUCUCUGUGACUCCAGUCCCAGGGGAUCUGACAUCUUCUUCUGGCCUCUGUUGAGCACUGUGUGCACACGACCAAAAGACAUACAUUCAGGUAAACUGCCCAUAUACACAAAAAUAACUAAAUCUCCCAAAAGGUGGUUUUGGGGGAAGCUCAGAAACCCAUUGCAUUUCCUUCCAUUUCUCUCCUUCCCCAGCUCCACUGAGAGCGCCUUGAAGUUGAAGGACCUUCUUUUCCAGGGCAGUGGUCCAGGGCCCAGACUCUUUCUGGUCUCCUAUGUAAUUCACCUGCUCUGUGUCCUACCUACUCCAAAUACAGCUGGUUGAUGUCAUAAAUCAUCUACGCUGUAUGUUACUGGGAAUCACUGAGAACUUUUUUUGGAACCAAUAUCUUGCUAUGUAGCCCAAGCUGACACUGAACUCACUAUGUAGCCCAGGUUGACCAUGGACUGGAAUUCCUACUGCCUCAAUGUCCUGAACUCAAACAUUACAGAUGUGUACCACCAUGCUUGGCUUGUACACUUAUUUAGGCUUACAAUAUCCAUGUUAUAAGCCUUCAAUGCAGGCAUCAUGAGGACAGACUUUACAUAGAGCAAGUUUUCACAAAUAUAAAAAAGUAAAAGGAAUUUCCAAUAUGAGAUCAUAGUGGAACAAAUUAGAACUCAAUAGCAAAAGAAACUAUAGUAACUAUUACAAUAGGAUUAAUACCCAGAAUAUAUACAAACUAUAAAACAGACUCCCUCGGCUGGGAGGGGACACCACAGAAGACCUACAGAGUAAACUAACCUGGGCCCAUGGGGCUCACAGAGACUGACCCACCACCAAAGGGCAUGCAUGCUGGGCCCAGGCCUCUUACACCUAUGUAGCAGAUGUGGCGCUGCUUCUUCAUGUGGGUCCCCUAACAAUUGGAGCAGGUGCUGUCUCUGACACCGUUGCCUGCCUUUGGAUCCUUUCCCCCUAGCUGGGCCCCCUUGUCUGGCCUCAGUAGGAGAGGAUGUGCUUGGUCCUGCUGCAACUUGAUUUGCCAGGGUGGGUUGGUGCCCACGGGCUCCACUUCUCUGAGAAGGGGAGGAGGA